rnacentral:rRNA from 1 species
CAGUCGCCGCGGGAACACGAAGGGUGCAAGCGUUAAUCGGAAUUACUGGGCGUAAAGCGUGCGUAGGCGGUGAGUUAAGUCUGCUGUGAAAUCCCCGGGCUCAACCUGGGAAUGGCAGUGGAUACUGGCUCGCUAGAGUGUGUCAGAGGAUGGUGGAAUUCCCGGUGUAGCGGUGAAAUGCGUAGAGAUCGGGAGGAACAUCAGUGGCGAAGGCGGCCAUCUGGGACAACACUGACGCUGAGGCACGAAAGCGUGGGGAGCAAACAGGAUUAGAUACCCCAGUAGUCCCUGUCUCUUAUAU